GGACCCGCACAAGCGGUGGAUGAUGUGGAUUAAUUCGAUGCAACGCGAAUAACCUUACCUACCCUUGACAUGUCCGGAAGCCUGCUGAGAGGUGGGUGUGCCCGAAAGGGAACUGGAACACAGGUGCUGCAUGGCUGUCGUCAGCUCGUGUCGUGAGAUGUUGGGUUAAGUCCCGCAACGAGCGCAACCCUUAUCAUUAGUUGCUACGCAAGGGCACUCUAAUGAGACUGCCGGUGACAAACCGGAGGAAGGUGGGGAUGACGUCAAGUCCUCAUGGCCCUUAUGGGUAGGGCUUCACACGUCAUACAAUGGCCGGUACAGAGGGUUGCCAACCCGCGAGGGGGAGCCAAUCCCAGAAAGCCGGUCGUAGUCCGGAUUGCAGUCUGCAACUCGACUGCAUGAAGUCGGAAUCGCUAGUAAUCGCGGAUCAGCAUGUCGCGGUGAAUACGUUCCCGGGUCUU
rnacentral:rRNA from 1 species